AACGAGCGCUGGCGGCAGGCUUAACACAUGCAAGUCGAGCGCCCCGCAAGGGGAGCGGCAGACGGGUGAGUAACGCGUGGGAAUCUACCCACCUCUACGGAAUAACGCAUGGAAACGUGUGCUAAUACCGUAUACGUCCUUCGGGAGAAAGAUUUAUCGGAGAUGGAUGAGCCCGCGUUGGAUUAGCUAGUUGGUGGGGUAAAGGCCUACCAAGGCGACGAUCCAUAGCUGGUCUGAGAGGAUGAUCAGCCACACUGGGACUGAGAAACGGCCCAGACUCCUACGGGAGGCAGCAGUGGGGAAUAUUGGACAAUGGGCGCAAGCCUGAUCCAGCUAUGCCGCGUGAGUGAUGAAGGCCCUAGGGUUGUAAAGCUCUUUCACCGGUGAAGAUAAUGACGGUAACCGGAGAAGAAGCCCCGGCUAACUUCAUGCCAGCCGCCGCAGUAAGAC
rnacentral:rRNA from 1 species